GCCUCGAUAGCUCAGUUGGUAGAGCAGGGGAUUGAAAAUCCCCGUGUCCCUGGUUCGAUUCCGGGUCGAGGCACCA
rnacentral:tRNA from 3 species